rnacentral:rRNA from 1 species
AGUGAACGCUGGCGGUAGGCCUAACACAUGCAAGUCGAACGGCAGCACAGUAAGAGCUUGCUCUUACGGGUGGCGAGUGGCGGACGGGUGGGGAAUACAUCGGAAUCUACUUUUUCGUGGGGGAUAACGUAGGGAAACUUACGCUAAUACCGCAUACGACCUACGGGUGAAAGCAGGGGAUCUUCGGACCUUGCGCGAUUGAAUGAGCCGAUGUCGGAUUAGCUAGUUGGCGGGGUAAAGGCCCACCAAGGCGACGAUCCGUAGCUGGUCUGAGAGGAUGAUCAGCCACACUGGAACUGAGACACGGUCCAGACUCCUACGGGAGGCAGCAGUGGGGAAUAUUGGACAAUGGGCGCAAGCCUGAUCCAGCCAUACCGCGUGGGUGAAGAAGGCCUUCGGGUUGUAAAGCCCUUUUGUUGGGAAAGAAAAGCAGCAGGUUAAUACCCCGCUGUUCUGACGGUACCCAAGGAAUAAGCACCGGCUAACUUCGUG